AAAGUGCGACAAGUGUCACGACUUGCAGAUUCCCGGGAGCUGACAACUCUCUGAAUGCAAAUUGCGGCCUGCCAUUUAAAGGCGGCCAUGUGCUGCAGAGUGUUUUUGCUUUAUGCAUUCCAUCUUCUGGCUCGUUCAGAAGAAUUCGGAGUUGAGCGAAGCUGCUCCUCGCUCAGCUCUGAGAUCUGCGCAAGCUCGCUCUAUGCGCGCCUGCCUUGAAAUACAGGCACACAGCGCUUGAGCGCACACGCGUUUUUUUCUUGCUGACCUCUGCAGCAUAAGAAAACCCGCUGAACUUAA
rnacentral:misc_RNA from 1 species